rnacentral:rRNA from 1 species
CAAAAACAUGUCUUUUUGAGUUAAUUUUAAAGUCUAACCUGCCCAAUGAAAAUUUUUUAAUGGCCGCAGUAAUUUAACUGUGCAAAGGUAGCAUAAUCAUUAGUCUUUUAAUUGAAGGCUUGUAUGAAUGGUUGGACGAAGUAUAAUCUGUUUCAUAAAAAUUUAUAAUAGAAUUUUAUAUUUUAGUAAAAAAGCUAAAAUUUUAUUAAAAGACGAGAAGACCCUAUAAAUCUUAAUAAUUUUUAUAUUUUAAUUUUUAUAGAUUUUUUAAAAUUUAAUUAUAAAAAUUAUUUUAUUGGGGUGAUAUUAAAAUUUAAAAAACUUUUAAUUUUUUUUUAUCAUUUAUUUAUGAUUUAUUGAUCCUUUAUUAAUGAUUAAAAGAAUAAGUUACUUUAGGGAUAACAGCGUAAUUUUUUUGGAGAGUUCUUAUUGAUAAAAAAGUUUGCGACCUCGAUGUUGGAUUAAGAAAUAUUUUAGGUGUAGUUGCUUAAAUAAAUAAGUCUGUUCGACUUUUAAAUUCUUACAUGAUCUGAGUUCAAACCGGA